rnacentral:rRNA from 1 species
CUAGACGAGUUUGAUCCUGGCUCAGAUUGAACGCUGGCGGCAGGCCUAACACAUGCAAGUCGAGCGUGGAAAGGGCUUCGGCCUGAGUAAAGCGGCGGACGGGUGAGUAACGCGUAGGAAUCUACCUGUAGUGGGGGAUAACGUUCCGAAAGGGACGCUAAUACCGCAUACGUUCCGAGGAAGAAAGGCGGGGGAUCGCAAGACCUCGCGCUAUCAGAUGAGCCUGCGUCCGAUUAGCUAGUUGGUGGGGUAAAGGCCUACCAAGGCGACGAUCGGUAACUGGUCUGAGAGGAUGAUCAGUCACACUGGAACUGAGACACGGUCCAGACUCCUACGGGAGGCAGCAGUGGGGAAUAUUGGACAAUGGGCGCAAGCCUGAUCCAGCCAUGCCGCGUGUGUGAAGAAGGCCUUCGGGUUGUAAAGCACUUUAAGCGGGGAGGAAGGCCUGGCGGCUAAUAUCCGUCGGGAUUGACGUUACCCGCAGAAUAAGCACCGGCAAACUACGUG